AUUGAACGCUGGCGGCAGGCCUAACACAUGCAAGUCGAGCGGAUGAGGGAAGCUUGCUUCCCGAUUUAGCGGCGGACGGGUGAGUAAUGCCUAGGAAUCUGCCUAUUAGUGGGGGAUAACGUUCCGAAAGGAACGCUAAUACCGCAUACGUCCUACGGGAGAAAGUGGGGGAUCUUCGGACCUCACGCUAAUAGAUGAGCCUAGGUCGGAUUAGCUAGUUGGUGAGGUAACGGCUCACCAAGGCGACGAUCCGUAGCUGGUCUGAGAGGAUGAUCAGCCACACUGGAACUGAGACACGGUCCAGACUCCUACGGGAGGCAGAAGUGGGGAAUAUUGGACAAUGGGCGAAAGCCUGAUCCAGCCAUGCCGCGUGUGUGAAGAAGGUCUUCGGAUUGUAAAGCACUUUAAGUUGGGAGGAAGGGUUGUAAGCUAAUAUCUUGCAGCUUUGACGUUACCAACAGAAUAAGCACCGGCUAACUCUGUGCCAGCCGCCGCCGUAAGAC
rnacentral:rRNA from 1 species